AGCCAGCUGCCAUGAACUGAAGAGUUUUUCUCUGCCAUGCCCUUGCACCAUGGUGCUACUGCCUUGGCACCAGCUGACCAGGGACUGAAACCUCUGAAACCAUGAGCCAAGCUUCAUGAGAUUGACAUCUGAAAAUACUAGUAUUUUGGGUAAAUACUUCUACCUUAGAGACUGGGGAUGAGUUAUCUGAAAGAAAUGUGGAAAUGAAAAGACCUUGUCUUUUCCCAUCCCAAAUUCUGGAACAUUCAGGGGAGAGACUGCUGGUCAAUGACUGUGCCUAACUUCAGGAUUUAUUGGACAUCUUAGGAGAAAAUAAUUUCCACCUCAAUUUCAAGUAUGAAAGUAGCAUCAUUUUCUUAUGUUUCUCCAUCCCACCUCCAAGGUCAUUUGGGAAAAAUGAAACACACUCACCAGUCAAGGCCAAGAGGCCCAGCAACAGCCACAAUGCAGACAUGUCAAGGGUCUGGCUCUACAGCUCCUGAAAUCAAAAUUAGCUUGGAGAUGAGAAAACAGCAAUCGCUGUCAACAACAUGUAAUGCUUCUAUGGGAGGAAGAUGAAUGGAAAGAGUUCACUUAUCUCCAAAGAAGGAAAAUUAAUGAUUUGGGUCACAGUUAAAAAUCAAGAGUGGGACAAAUGCUCCACCUAUCCUUUAAUUAGCUUAAAAAAUGGGAAGACUUCUGCUUGGUCUACAGGAACUCAAUAUCGCAUCCAGACACUGGAUACUAAUUAUUUUAAGACGCCAAGAUGCUUUGGUUCUCAGUACCGAGAACAUGGUAACUGGGUUCAAGACUCAGAAAAGCAAAUAUUUGAUGCACCUGUCUUAUCCCAAGAGCCUCUUCAUUAUCAAACUAUAAUGUGAAAAGGAGAAGUUCAUAUUGGUCAUUUCUCUGAAUCUGGAUUCUUCUCUCUCAGUUGGAGGAAAGGUCACACUUCUUCAGGGCCUUGGAAUGGCUACUGAGUCUUAGGAUGAAGGAAGGAGCCUGAGGGCAUUCCAACUCCUCAGCCCGAGUCUGGGAAUCCAGAUGCCUUUGAUCACUUUGAACCAUGUUCCCCAAUAUCCCUCUGUAAAACUCCUGGGCUGAAGCUGCAGAGAAUGGAGAGACAAGUUCCCAGGAAAGUGGGUCAUGGGCAGGGGUCCUAGGAUCCACUCAUGAGGGGCUUGCUCAACAGGCCAUCUGACAACUGGCUGCCAUGGAGAUCAUGUUCCCAUGCUUUCUCUCUUAUUCCAGCCAUUCCGCCCGUUACUACCACAGCCCCUGCCCCUACUAGCUACCAAACUAAUGCAUAAAAGCCACCAAGAACAGUUGACCCCAGGGAAUGCUGGAGGAACCAGCUCCCUGCCCCCAAAACUUCCACUUCCCCCAUCUCCAUCAUCAGCAGAGCCUGGUGACUUGCCAUUUUGAAUUAUUACCAUCAUUAUGUGU